UGCUAAACAACCAGCUAUCUACUUAGUGCUUCACACACAAUGUUGAAUCUUCCAGCAAAAGUUAGCUAGCAAGUUACUGUAGCUAGUAGAGCUAAUGCUAAUGCAUUAUGAUGAGUUUACGUGAAACAGCUGUUCUGACGAAAGUCAUUGCAGUUGCCUCCUGAGUCAGCUGCUGUGCUCAGCUGACCCAACGAUACAAAACAGCGAGCGCAGAUCAGGUGGAACAACAUGUGGAACUACUGCUGCUGACGUCACAUUGGCUAUAAUAGCGACUUGACCGCCCGAGUCAGGUACAUGUUUUCAGGUGCAAGAGACCAGUCUUACUCUGAGCAUCAAGGUAGUAGUAGCAACAGUAGUAGUAGUAGUAGUAGUAGUAGUAGUAUCUGGACCUACACUUUUCACUGCUUCAGAAAGCUUCAGAAGACACUGCUAGAAACCUGGACAUGAAGUUCACCAUGACCGUGCUGGUGACCAUGCUGGCUUUGCUGCUGUCUGGUCUGGUGAGGAGCGCUCUGUAUACAAGCUUUCAUACCAAAUGCUGUACUGCCAGUCAAAGGUGCAAACCGUCGCACAACAGAACGUCACUGAAGCUACCGAAGGUUCUCUUGCAAACCAUUCAUCUUGGGAAUAACUCACUGGCCCGCUGGAAAUACACAACGGACACGAACGAAAACAGGACACCACCACACAUCGAAAACGCUACCUGCUUGCAUUGUGUGGACGAGGGGCUGAAGGCAGUGCCGAUUCAGUAUGAGAUUAAUUUAAUUCACAGAAUAAGAUGUGACGAUAAACAGAUUGUUACUUGUAAGUGUCCUUGCAGGGUUAAUGUAGGCUGCACCUGUGUGAGAGAAUAACUCUGUGUGAAAGAGAAGAACUGGCGUUGUAUUUCUGCCAGGUAUCUUCCUGAGUAGAGGAGUGUAUAGGCCUAUAUAUUGACUGCAUCCCAAAUUAUUCCCUAUUCCCUAUAUAGUGCACUGCAGUCUGAUAAUUAUCUGUACAAAACAAUUAAUCUGAUAAUAUUUGUGGAAUAUAUAUAUAUAUAUAUUUAAAUGCUUGAUUUAUGUUUUCCAGUUUCUUGAAAUACUUCGCAAAGGCAACUUAUUUCUAUGUGAAAAACUGAACUAUUCAUUAAAUUCAUUCAACUGAACUAUUGUGCUGUGCAUCUUUAUCUCUUGUAGAGAGAUUCUUAUAUUAUGCUUCCGAUUGGUAUUGUUCUUAAAUGUUAGCUAUGUAAUUUGACUUGUGUGAUAUAAUUAUCAAAUACCUAUUCCAUGUCUUUGUUUAUUAAUCAUUUCCAUUGUUUCAAUUUCUUAAGGAAAUAUCAGCAUCUUGUGUAUUUGAUUUUAUUCAUGCAUUUUGUCCAGUUGAAUGUCUAACAAUGUAUUUGUGUUUGUCAACAACUGAGUGGUUAUCUGGUUUAAUAAAAUAUUAUAGAUCUACCUGAUAUAA